rnacentral:snoRNA from 1 species
UGGAAAUGAUGAAAUAGAGAUAUUGGGUGUUGAAUGUUGCCAUGAAUGGAAAUUUUUAAUGUAUAUAUUAGUUCUCCUAGUUUAAUGUUUCAUUUAUACGUACUAGUGUGAGUGUGUGCAUGCAUGUGUGUGUGUGUGUGUGGUGGCUAUGAAAGGGGGCACUGAAUGGUGAUGCUGAUAUUGGAGUGCAUCUGAGGCUGUUGUAGAAAUAACAUGGGUUAUUACAUAUUACAAUAUUGCCGAUGAUUAUAACCCAAAAACAGCUCACCUAAGUAGCCCAGCACCCUAAAAUCUCUAACAGGCUCAUUAAAUGUCCUGUGAUCUGAUCCAA